GUCGAAGCCACAGGUGUUUUCUUCAAAGGCGCAGGAUCCCGCGGGCAGGUCCAAGGCACCGGCAAGCUGCAGGGCUGCGGGCACAAAGAGGUGGAGUCUGUGGCCCUUCUCUUGGACCCUGGUGAGCCUUUGCGACUUCCUGAUGAAGGGAAUGCAGAAGCGGUGCUGCGGGGUGGCCAAGGCUGCUCGGAAAAGGACAUGCAGCAUCCACAGGUUCCCCUUGGGACAAUCAGCUGCCAGGCAUCAGACAAGUGAGUGAAGAAACCAUCUGCAGCCACCUUCUGCAGUAACUGUAAGGAGAGCUGACCCAUUGACCCCCAGCUUCACUACUGAAUAAUAAUAUCAUUCCUGUUUUACAACCACUGCUUUGGGGGGGAUUUGCUAUGCUGCAAAAUAUAACUGGAAUAGAGGCCUCUCACUGUUUACUCUUUAUAUGUUUCCAACUUUACAACAUGCAAAUGUAUUUUCUAUUAAAAAAGUAAAUAAAACUA